rnacentral:rRNA from 1 species
UACGUAGGUCCCGAGCGUUGUCCGGAUUUAUUGGGCGUAAAGCGAGCGCAGGUGGUUUAUUAAGUCUAGUGUAAAAGGCAGUGGCUCAACCAUUGUAUGCAUUGGAAACUGGUAGACUUGAGUGCAGGAGAGGAGAGUGGAAUUCCAUGUGUAGCGGUGAAAUGCGUAGAUAUACGGAGGAACACCGGUGGCGAAAGCGGCUCUCUGGCCUGUAACUGACACUGAGGCUCGAAAGCGUGGGGAGCAAACAGG